GGAAGACUUGUUCACUUCAGGUUAGUGGUCGAACAACCACAGUAUGUCACUGUUAUUUAACAGCAUUCUACCAUAUUUUACUAUCUGCGCCAUUUUGGAUUAUCAGCAUGAGGCAAAGUAUUUCUGAAAACAACGCUAAGAUAUGCUGGUUAGCGGAAAACUUCUGAAACAGUGACUGGGUAGCGUUAGCUUAAACAGGAGAUUCAAAUGCUCGUGACUAAAAGGAGUCUGACAACAGCCAGUGCUCCACAUAGAGAUCUGAUCUCAUCAUCAUCAUCAUCAUCCAGUCUGUUUGAAAUGACAUGAAGAACCAGAACAAACUGAGACAAAGUAAAUCCAGAAGACCUGUGGCAACGUCUCCAAGAUGCUUCAAGAAACCUACCUUUUAACUGUUGUUGAACCGGCUUGUAUGUUGUAAACCAUGUUUUCAUUUGUUUGUUAAAGUGAGAGUUCACCCAAAAAUGAAGAUUCU